rnacentral:ncRNA from 2 species
UCCUUAUCAAGAGUCGGGGGAGGAAUCUGGUCCAUUGAUCCCGCAGCAACCAGUUACAAUGAAGUAACAUGGUGCUCAUUCCAGCAAGCGUAGGCUUGAUAGAUGAGAA